rnacentral:rRNA from 1 species
AGCGGCAGACGGGUGAGUAACACGUAAGUAACCUACCCCAGAGACAGGGAUAACCCUAGGAAACGAGGGCUAAUACCAGAUGAACUCCGCGAGGAGUAAAGGCUCCGGCGCUCUGGGAGGGGCUUGCGGCCCAUCAGCUAGUUGGUAGGGUAAAGGCCUACCAAGGCGAAGACGGGUAGGGGGUGUGAGAGCACGACCCCCCACAAUGGGACUGAAACACGGCCCAUACUCCUACGGGAGGCAGCAGCAGGGAAUAUUGCACCAAUGGGCGAAAGCCUGAUGCAGCGACGCCGCGUGAGUGGAGAAGGCCUUCGGGGUCGUAAAGCUCUUUUGUAGGGGAAGAGGAAGGACGGUACCCUGAGAAAAAGCGUCGGCUUAACUACGUGCCAGCAGCCGCGGGUAAAGACGUAGGACGCGAGCGUUAUCCGGAAAUUACUGGGCGUAAAGGGCCCAGCAGGCGGCUAGAUAAAUUGUGCGUGAAAAGCCUCGUGCUCAACGCGAAAGGAAGCCGGACAAUACUGUCUAGCUUGGAGGGCAUCAAAGGGGGAGUGGAAUUCCCGGGAGUACCGCGUAAAAAGCGCAGAUAUAGGGAGGAACAACCGAUUGGCAAAGGGCACUUCCCUGGGGGUUGUACCUGACGCUAAGUGGCGAAAGCUAGGGGAGCGAACAGGAUUAGAGACCCUGGUAGUCCUAGCUGUAAACGCUGGGUGCUAGGUGUGGGGCGUAGAAGCUCUGUGCCGGAGCGAACGCGAUUAGCACCCCGCCUGGGAAUUACGGUCGCAAGGCUUAAACUCAAACGAAUUGACGGGGCCCCGCACAAGCAGCGGAGCGUGUGGUUCAAUUCGAUGCUACACGGAGAACCUUACCUGGGUUUGACAUGUACGUGGUAGAGAAGCGAAAGCGGAUUGACCCU